AUUGAACGCUAGCGGGAUGCUUUACACAUGCAAGUCGAACGGAGUGGCGGACGGGUGAGUAAUAUAUCGGAACGUGCCCAGUAGCGGGGGAUAACUACUCGAAAGAGUGGCUAAUACCGCAUACUUUUGGGGAGGCCUAUAUCGGAUUAGGGAGUGGGUGGGGUAAAGGCUCACCAAGGCAACGAUCCGUAGCUGGUUUGAGAGGACGACCAGCCACACUGGGACUGAGACACGGCCCAGACUCCUACGGGAGGCAGCAGUGGGGAAUCUUGGACAAUGGGCGAAACCCUGAUCCAGCCAUCCCGCGUGUAUGAUGAAGGCCUUCGGGUUGUAAAGUACUUUCGGCAGGGAAGCGGUAUCUGCAGAAUAAGCACCGGCUAACUACGUGCCAGCCGCCGCGGUAAUAC
rnacentral:rRNA from 1 species